rnacentral:rRNA from 1 species
GACGAAGGAUGCAAGCGUUAUCCGGAUUCAUUGGGUUUAAAGGGAGCGUAGGUGGCCUUAUAAGUCAGUGGUGAAAUCUCUGGGCUUAACCCAGAAAUUGCCAUUGAUACUGUAGGGCUUGAGUAUAGAUGCCGUUGGCGGAAUAUGACAUGUAGUGGUGAAAUACAUAGAGAUGUCAUAGAACACCGAUUGCGAAGGCAGCUAACGAAACUAUAACUGACACUGAGGCUCGAAAAGUGCGGGGAUCAAACAGG